rnacentral:lncRNA from 1 species
UGGGGGUUGGGACUUUGAGCACAGCUAAGCUGGGUCCUCUGGCUGAGGGUGUCCCCCAGGCUACAAUUAAGAGGUGGGGCUGGAAGCUGCACUCAUCUCAAGGUUCAACAAAGGCAGUGCCAGUUUUGCACAGGUUGCUGGACUAAGGACCUCAGUGUAUCCUGCCUGGCUCAACCCCAAACACAUCUCUCUUCAGGAUGCUGAGAGAACAAAAGACCUGUGGAACUUCUGCCCUGAGCUCCAGCCUGUCCCAAGUGAAGCCCCUGGUGUUGGCCCUGAGCCCUUUGCUCAGCAAUGGUGCAUUCAUUGUCGAUAGUGAACAGUUCCAGGGAUGGAGUAACAGGAGACAGGAGAGCAUCUCAGCACAAACAAAAUUUGCGACGUGAUACUGUGAAGUAUUCAUGGAUGAGUCCCCCACCCACCCUCCCUUUUAUUUUGUGACUUCCUCCACCUGCCCCCAUUCCUGUGGAGAAGCAAGAGGCUGCCAUUUGUCCUACAGAAUAGCCACGGUGGAGCCAGAGAAAAGAAAUGACAAAUAGUUGGCAAUGGUCCACAAGUCCCAGUGAAAGACAGGAUGAAGAGUGUUUGCUGACCAGUCUCCACUCUCCACCAGCCUUUCCUCUUCCAGCCACACCCUGCUCCUGCCCUCCCCUCCACCCCCCAGAAGAUUAAGAAGGGAGAGAGACCAGCUGGGGGAGAAACAAAAGUUAUACCCUGGACAGGGAUGCUGGAGUCCAGAGGAGGGAUGCUGGAAGCCCACCUCUCCCAGAAAUAGCUAGCUUCAAAGGGAGAUAUGACAGACCCCUGAGAAAAGUUUGGGGAUUUCAGAGUAGGGAAACUUGAGUAGGUUUAAACGUGAAGUGCCUAAGAAUGCCUGGAACUGAAUGAGAUUAUAUUUUCUGCCAGAAGAAACAGAACUAAAAAUAGAGAGUUUGGAAAAAAUACAGACUUUUGUUUUUAGUAUUUGUAUUAGUGGGAAUAUGCAUAUUUGCCACAGAAGUGCAAUUUUCUGAAGUGGAUGUUUUUUGCUUUUGUUCUGCAUCCCUCUUAUCGUGAAGACAUGUUUUCUAAGUCUAGAAAUCACAUGUAUACUAACUGGUACAGUUUUAAAAAGAAAAAAAAAAGGAUAAUUAUGGUUCAGCUCCAGCCCUCUGGAGAUUUUCAUCCGGAAUGUCAGCUUAGAUACCGAAUGGGAAAAUAGAGGGCACUAGAUUUCCCCUCUACCCUUGCCAAAAAGAUAUGUUUCCCAGGCCCCUGUGCCCGGGCCUGCCAGACCCAAUUAGAGAAAAAGAACCACAUGACACUAAGGCUCAUUUCACAGCCCUUUUUACUUCCCUGUUCUGAAUGUGACUCAGGAGACACCCAGAAACUGGAUGAGGAUGAGAGAGCUCCAUUUAUCAUUUCACAAGUGCCGCCUGGUGGCCUGCUAUGGAGCAUGCAAAAAGAGAGACUAUGAAUAAGAUUCAUGCAAAAGAGACACUAUGAAUUCUCAAGCCUGGACUCACCACCCGUGCCUGGGUCCUUUCUCCUCUGCCCUCCUCACACCCUAGCCUAUCCUUGGCCUCCCCCAGAAGCAGAAAGUCUCCUCUUUUUCACCCUGGAUGUGGGUGGUUUAGUUCUGAGACCUGAAUUGGGGGAUCAAUUGGCCAAAAGUAACAGGUGUUUUCCCUCCAAGUUCAGGAAGAGCAAAUGAACCUAAGAGUCUAUGAUUUUACCUCCCCAAAUGGGUGCUGGGUGGACGGAAGCAUGGAGUAAUCAGCAGAAGUACAGAAACCUCAACUUGAAUGAUUAAAUGCUUGGGAAAUAACUUCUAAAGCAACAGCGAUAAUGACAACCAAUCAAAUGCUGGCUUGAGAUGCAGCAAACUGGACCCCAAAGAGCCAUCUGAGGUCUAGACAGGUGCUUUAGUUUCACACAUUAUAAAAGGCACAGAAAAUCUUACUGAAGGCCAAGGGGCUGAAAGAUAGCCAAAGAAAAAAGAAAAAAGAAACAGACAUCCUUUUGGUUCACUGAAGUGGCACAUCAGAACAGCCAAUCUUCUGGAACACUUUAAUUCUGGAACAAGGCAGAAUUCAUUUGAAUAUAUGUGUUCAAAGUCCUAGGAAAUUAAGCACAAGGCAGUGACAUCUUCUGGAAAUGGAAUUCUAAGGAUGAAAUGGCUACAGAGCAAACUGCAGCUGAGAGAAAACUGCUUGGAGUUUGGACAGAGGUGGAAUUGAGUGUCCACAGGCCAGCUGAGGAGGUGGUACCCAGCACUCUAUGAACCCUUCGCUCAAGUCAGCCUGGAGUAGGAGGUGGGAAUGUCAGGACAGAGGACUAACACCCCAUGAAACAAACAAAGGCUAUGCUCAUUUUUCUGUCAUAAAUUUCAGUCUCACAAUAAACCAGCAAGUUAGGCAUUGCUCUAUAAUCACUUUGCAGAUGAGGAAACUGAAGCUUUUGAGAAUUGGAGGGACUUGUGAAAGUUCACUCGGGUAGCACAAAACACAGUCAGGAUUUGAAUCCAGGAUUUCAGACCCCAGGCAUGU